rnacentral:rRNA from 1 species
GACGAACGCUGGCGGCGUGCUUAACACAUGCAAGUCGAACGGAAAGGCCCUGCUUUUGUGGGGUGCUCGAGUGGCGAACGGGUGAGUAACACGUGAGUAACCUGCCCUUGACUUUGGGAUAACUUCAGGAAACUGGGGCUAAUACCGGAUAGGAGCUCCUGCUGCAUGGUGGGGGUUGGAAAGUUUCGGCGGUUGGGGAUGGACUCGCGGCUUAUCAGCUUGUUGGUGGGGUAGUGGCUUACCAAGGCUUUGACGGGUAGCCGGCCUGAGAGGGUGACCGGCCACAAUGGGACUGAGGGACGGCCCAGACUCCUACGGGAGGCAACAGGGGGGAAUUUUGCACAAUGGGCGGGAGCCUGAUGCAGCAACGCCGGGUUCGGGAAGACGGCCUUCGGGGUGUAAACCGCUUUCGCCUGUGACGAAGCGUGAGUGACGGUAAUGGGUAAAGAAGCACCGGCUAACUACGUG